AAUAUCUUUUCCCAUCCCUUUAUUGUCAGUAUAUAUGUGUCUUUAUAGGUGAAGUAUGUUUCUUGUUGACAACAGAUUAGGGUCUUGUUUUUGCAUCCAUUCAGCCAGUCUAUGUCUUUUGGAGAGUUUAGUUCAUUUACAUUCAGUGUUAUUAUUGAUAAGUUAGGACUUACUCCUGGCAUUUUGUGAUUUGUUUUCUGGAUGUUUUAUGUCUUCUCUUUCUUCCUUUUUUCCUUCCUGUCUUCUUGUAGUUAAGGUGAUUUUCUCUGGUAAUAUGAUUUAGUUUAUUGCUUAUUUGUAUGUAUGCAUAGUAUGUUUUUUGCUUUGAGGUUACCAUGAGGCUUCUAAAUACUAUCUCAUAAUCCAUAAUUUUAACCUGAUAACACUAUUUGCAUAAACAAGCAAGCAAGCAAAAACAAAAAAGAUUAAAAACUUUAUGUCUUGACUUUAUCCCCCUACUCUUUAACUUUUUGUUGUUUCUAUUUGUAUCUUAUUGUACUAUGUCUUGAAAAGUUAUUGUAGUUAUUAUUUUUGAUUGAUUAAUCAUUUAAUCUUUCUACUUAGGACAACAGUAGUUUACACACCACAGUUACAGUAAUAUUUUAUGGUUUUCUGUGUACUUAAUAGAACCAGUGAGUUUUUUACCUUCAGGUGGUCACUUAUUGUUCAUUAAUGUCCUUUUCUUUCUGAUUGAAGUACUCCCUUUAGCAGUUUUUGUGGGACAACUCUGGUGUAGAUGAAAUCAUUCUGAUUUUCUUUGGGAGAGUCUUUACUUCUCCUUCAUGCUUGAAAGAUAUUUUCAGCAGACAUGCUCUUCUAGAGUAAAAGUGUUUUUCUUUCAGCACUUUAAAUAUUGCAUGCCAUUCUCUCCUAGCCUGUAAGGUUGCCACUGAAAAGUCUGUUUCAGACUUAUUGAAGCUCCAUUGUACAUUGUUUGUUUCUUUUCUCUUGCUGUUUUUGGGAUCCUUUCUUUAUCAUUGAUCUUUAGGAAUUUGAUUAUUAAAGGCCUUAAGGUAGUCUUCUCUGGGCAACAUCUGCUUGUUGUUCUGUAAUCUUCUUAUACUUAGAUACUGGUAUCGUUCUCUAGGUUUGGGAAAUUAUCUGUUACUAUAUCUUUGAAUGAACUUUCUACCCCUAUCUCUUUCUCUACCUCCAUGUUAAGGCCACUAACUCUUAGAUUUGCCCUUUUGAGGCUGUUUCCAGAUCCUGUAAGCAUGCUUCAUUUUUAUUAUUUUUUCUUCUGUCUCUUCUGUGUAUUUUCAAAUAGCCUGUCUUCAAGCUCACUAUUUCUUUCUUCUGCUUCAUUAAUUCUGCUAUUAAAGGACUCUAAUGCAUUCUUCAGUAUGCCUCUUACAUUUUUCAGCUCUAAAAUUUCUGCUUGAUUCACUUUCAUUAUUUUAAUCUCUUCAGUAAAUUUAUCUGAUAGAAUUCUGAAUUUCUUCUAGGCAUUAUCUUGAAUUUCUUUGAGUUUCCUUAACACUGCUAUUUUGAAUUCUCUGUCUGAAAGGUCACGUAUCUCUUUCUCCAGGAUUGGUUCCUGGUGCCUUAUUCAGUUCAUUUGGCGAGGUCAUGAUUUCCUGGAUGGUCUUGGUGAUUGUGGAUAUUCGUCAGUGUCUGGGCACUGAAGAGUUAGGUAUUUACUGUAGUCUUCACUGUCUGGGCUUAUUUGUACCCAUCCUUCUUGGGAUGGCUUUCCAGAUAUUUGAAAGGACUUGGGUGUUGUGAUCUAAGCUGUAUGUGCUUUAGGGGGCACCCUAAGUCCAGCAACUCUGUUUAUUGCUGACUCAUAGAGGGACUGCCUUGAUGGUCUUGGACAAGAUCUGAGAGAAUUCUCUGGAUUACCAGGCAGAAACUUUUAUUCUGUUCCCUUACUUUCUCCCAGAGUGUCUUUCCCUGCUCUGAGCCAUGUAAAGCUGGGGGUGGAGUGACACAAGCACCCCUGUGGCCACCACCACUAUGACUGCACUGAGUCAGACCUGAGGCCAGCGCAGCACUGGGUCUCACCCAAGGCCUGCUGUAACCACUCCCUAGCUACAGCUUAUGUUUGUUGAGGGCCCUGGGGCUCUACAAUUAGCCUCAGCUGGUGGCAAAGUAAACCAGGCCUAUGUCCUUUCCUUCAGGGCAGCAAGGUCCCCAGGUCCUGGGUGGGUCCAGAGAUGCCUUUCUAGAGCCAGAAACUAUAGUCAAGAACCUUAGAAGUCUCCCUGCUAUUCUAUUGUACUGCAGCUGAGUGGUACUCAAACUACAAAACAUAGUCCUUCCCAUUCUUCCCACCCCUUUCCAAAGGCAGAGGAGUCUUACCCCAUAGCCACUGCCACCCCAGACCACUGUGAGUUCAAUGACUCACAAUUACUGCAUUCUCCCUCCUCUAGUGCCUGGAGAGGCACUCUGCAUUACUGCCAGACUGGCUAGCCAAUGUUCCCAUAAGGGCCAAAGUCUCUUAACUCAGCAUGUGGUAAAUACUGCAUGGCCUGGGACACACCCUUCAGGACAGUGGGCUUCUCUUUGGCCCAGGGCAGGUCCAUAAAUGCUAUGACUCAAAUCCUGGAAUUAGCGACCCCCAAAAGCCUGCUUGUUGCUCUUCACCCCUGUAGCUGUGCUGCUACCUAAGAUGCAAGACGAAGUCCCCUUUACUCUUCCCUCUGCUUUUCUCAAGCAGAAGAAAUUUUGCCCCAUAGGCACCACAUCUGGUAAUGUCCUGAGUCUCAUCUGAAGCCAAUAAGUCUCAGAUACUCACCCCAGGCCAUUAAUGUAGUACCUGGGUAUAACUGCUGGUUAUUCAGGGCCUAAGGGCUUUUCAGUUAGCAGAUGAUGAAUGCUGUCAGGACUAGGGUCUUUCCUUCAAGACAGUGGGUUCCCUUCUGGCCCAGAGUGUGCCUAGAAAUGUUGUCUGGAAGCUAGGCUUUGGAAUGGAGGCCUCAUGAGUCUGACAGGUACCCUAUCUUGCUGUGGCUGAGCUGGUAUCCAAGAUGCAAGAAAAUGUCCUCCCUACUCUUCCCUCUUCUUUCCUCAAGCAGAAGGAAGCGGUCUCUUUUGGAACCACAAGCUGGUCAGCCUUGCCUUAGGGGAGAGGUGAUGCCAGCACUCCCUUAGCUGCCUUAGCUUGUGUCACAGUAGAUCACGUGCCCCUCCCUUCCAUCCAAGUUCACUGUCUCUGUGCCUAGUUCAGCACUAGGAGUUGCCUAAGAUUUGCAGAUCCUAAGGCCUAGACUGCCUUUCAAGUUUACUUGGAGACACAGAGUACUGUAGACCUUGACAGCAAGGAUUGACAGAACUCAAGUAUCAACUACUAGGAUCAGUGAUUCCCAUCUGGCUAAGGCCGGUUUAAAUGCUCCCUUUCUGGGAAGGCAUCAGCUGAAUUUGAUCUGGUUUUCCUUUCUGCUCUAACAGAACAGCACUGAGUUCAAUGCCUCAGAAAGCCUGUGUUCUCCCUCUCGCAGCACCCAGAGAGGUUCUCUGCACCACAGGGCCACUGCUGGGGUAGGGGAGGGAUAGCCUCAGUGAUUCUGGACUGUUCUAUGUCUCAGUGCCUCUUUCAGUGAUAUGAAGUUAAAACUGGGUACUAAGAGUGUUCAUCUGAUUUUUUGUUCUUAUGAAGGUUUUUUUUCUGCAUAGCUAGUUGUUAACUUGGUGUCCUUGUAGUGGGAACAAUCAGUAGAGCCUUCUAUUCUGUCAUCUUGCUCCACCUCUCUAUGCUGUUGUUUUAAAUAUAACUAUAAAGCAAAGUACUCCUAAAGUAAGAGUCAGUGCCUUGAAAAUAAGUACAUAAUAAUUAUUGUAUUUUAAUGUUUUAAAUGUUUUACAGACUAACUGAAAAUAGCAGAAAAUGACAAAAAUUUCCUUUUUCCAUAUCUUUCCUACAAUCAAAUUCCUCUUGUUCUGUCUUGCAGUGUUUUAGUUCUGUGAACUUUUACUUCCUUUCCUUUUUAAUAAGCAGGAUCUUUUUCAAUUACACUUAUUAUUUUUUAAUAAUUACAGAUUAUCAUGGUGUUGUCACAGAUAGUACAAAAAUAUUUCAUGUACACUUUGCCCAGUUUCCACAGUGGUAAAACUUUCAAAACAAUAGUAAAGCGUCACAAUCAGGGUAUUUACUUUGAUACAAUCAAAAGACAGAACAUUACCAUCACCAUAUGGAUUACUCAUUUUUUUCUUCUUUUUAUAGCCACGCUAAUUUUCCUUUUUCCUCUCCUUCAUUCUACUUACUUAAAGCUUGAAAACCAAUAAUCUGUUCUCCAUUCACUAUUUUUUUUUAAUUUCAAGCAUAUCAUUUAAAUGCAUUCAUGUAGUAUAUAAUAUUUGGAGAUUGGCUUUUUUUCACUCAUCAUUUUAUUUAGGAAUUUAUCCAAAUUUCUGUGCAUUUCAACAUUUUGGUCUUUUGUAUUGUUGCUUAGUAUUGCAUCACAUGGCUGUUUCAAAGUUUGUCUAAUUAUUCACCCACUGGAAGACAUUUGGAUUGUUUCCACUUUGGGGCUAUUAUGAAUAAAACUGCUAUCAACAUUUAUGUAUAGGUUUUUCUGUCAAGAUAAAAUUUUAUUUCUCCAUUGUAUAUUUAAUUUUUUAAGAAACUGACAGUUUUUCAGAGUAGCUGUACCAUUUCACAUGUGCCCGUUUCACCACUUCCUUAUCAGCAUUUGGUGUUGUCACUACUUUUUACUAUAAUUUUUCUGAUAGGUGUGUAGUGAUAAACAACUGUGAUUUUUAUUCGUAUUUCUGUAAUGGUUAAUGAUGUUGAACACCUAUUCAUGUGCUUAUUUGUCAUCUGUAUGUCCUCUUCAGUGAAAUAACUGUUCAUUAUUUUGCCAUUUUCUAAUGGGAUUUUUAAAAAUGUGUUGUUUGUUUUUGUUUCUUAGUGUUGACUUUUGAUAGUUUCUUAUAUAUUAUAAACACUAGGCCUUUGUCAGCUAUAUAAUUUGCAACUAUUUUCUUUCAGUCUGUAGUUUGGUUUUUCAUUUUCUUAACAGGGUCUUUCAUGGAGCAAAAGUACUUUGGUGAAGUCCAAUUUAUAAAAAAUUUGCUUAUGUGAAUUGUACUUUUGAUGUUAAGAACUCUUUGCCUAGCCAUAGAUUCUGAGGAUUUUCUGUUUCUUUCUAAAAGCUUUACAGUUUUAUAUACUACAUUAAGUCUGUGAUCCAUGUUGAGUGAGUUUUUAUAUGAAGUGUGAGAUUUAAGUCUUAAGUCAAGGUUUUGUUGUAUUUUUCUUUUGCCUAGCAAUGACCCAUGGCUGAAAUGGCUUUCAAUAUUCUAAGAAAUUGCUUUUGCACAUUUAACAAAAAUCAGAUACUCCACUCAGAAUAAGUGGAGUUAUUUCUGAGUUUGCUAUUUCUUUUGAUCUACCUGUCUAUUUAUCUGCCAAUACAACUAGAAUCUUGAUAGCUAUAGAUAUAUAAUAAAUCUGGAUAUUGGCUAAACUAUUUAUCUCACUUUAUUUUUUCAAAAUUGUUUUAGCUAUUUGAAUCAUUUGAUUUUCCAUAUAAAUUUAAACAAUCUUGUCUAUAUCUACAAAAAACUCUUGCUGAGAUUUUAUAGGUAUUGUAGUAAACCUGUUUAUGAAUUGGAAGAUAUUUGACAUCUUUAUUAUUUUGAGCCUUCCAAUCCAUGAACACUGUACAUCUUUCCAUUUGUUUACAUCUUCCUUGACUUCUUUCAUCAGCGUAUUCUAAUUUUCAGUAUGCGAGACCUAUACAUAUUUUGAUAUAAUUGCACCUAGAUAUUUCAUUUUAUUUUUAGUUAUUUUACACAGUAUUGCAUCCUUAAUUUCAGUGACCAUGUUUUCUAAUACACAGAAAUUAAACUGAUUUUUUAUGUCUAUCUAUUUUAUGUUCUGUAUGUCUUCCAAUGUUAGUGGAUGCAUCUAUUUAUUCUCAAAUGAUGUUUAUAGAUUCCUUGCAAUCUAAAAAAUCUAUGUUUGCCUGCAAACAGGAAGUUUUCUAUUCAAUUUUUGUAUAAAAUUAUUAUUAUUUACCUGAUUAUAUUAUCCCAGAACUUUAGUGAAAUGUUGAACAAGAGUGGAGAGAGCAUGUAUUUUUGCCUUGUUUUUAUCCUAAAGAAGGCUAAUUGUCUAUUUUUGUUGUUGUUGUUUGUGUUUCUGCUGUCUCAAUUUAAAAAGCAAUAACCUAAUGUAAGGUUAUAAAUAUUUAUUUCUGCAUUUUCUUCUAAAAAUUGUAUGGUUUUAUUGUUUACAUUUCCAUCUCUGAUCCAUUUUGAGUUAUGUUUUGUAUAAUACAUUUGAUAGAGAUUCAGUUGUGUUGUUUUCCAUGUGAAUAUCCAUUUCAUUUGUCCCAGCAUCAUUUUGGAAAAGGCUGUGUUUCCCCAAUUGUGUUGUCUUGGCAUCUUUCUCAAAAAUCAAUUGACUGUUAAUGUAAGGUUUAUUUCUGAAUUAUCAGUCAUAUUUCAUAGAUUUUUAUGUCUAUCCUUAUGUCAGGAAAUGUUAUUUUUAUUAUUGUAGCUUUGUAGUAGAUUUUGAAAUCAGAAAAUGUAAGACUUUCAACUUUUAUUUAUCAAGGUUGUUUUGGUUAUUCUGGAUCCUUUGCAUUUCCAUAUGAAUUCUAGGAUUAGCCUAUACAUUUCUGGGGGGAAAAGGCAGCUAGAAUUUUGAUUGGGUUUGUGUUGAAUCUAUAGUUCAAUUUGAAGAGUAUUUAAUCGCAAGAACAUUAAGUUUUUCAAUUCAUGGAAUAGGAUGUCCUCCAGUUAUUUAGAUAUUUCUUAAUUACUUUUAGUAAUAUUUUGUGGUUUUUAAUGCUAAAAUUUUAUACUUUGUCAAAUUUAUUCUUAAAUAUAUUAUCAUUUUGAUAAUUCUGUGAAUAAGUUGCUUUCUUAAUUUUAGUUUUCAAUUGUUAAUUGCUAAUGUGUGUCUGCAAAAUUGACUUUUUAUAGUGAUCUUGGACCUGCAACCUUGAUUAGCUAUUUUUUAAUUUUAACUUUUUAAAUGUGUGAAUUACUUAGGGUUUUUUAAUAUAAAUAAUCAUUUCAUCUGUGGAGAAAAAAAUUUACUUUUUCCUUUUUUAUCAGAAUGCCAAUUAUAAUUUUUUAUCUUAACUAAUUGCUCUGGCUAGAACUCCUAGUGCAAUGUUGAAUAGAAAUAAAAAACAGUAGAUGUAUUUGUUUUGUUUCUGAUAUAAGGAGAAAGCAUUGUCUUCAUUAAAUAUGAUGUUAGCUGUGAGUUUUUCAUAGAUAUACUUAAGAUGAUGAGAUCAUUUCUUUCUACUUCUAGUAUGUUGAGUGUUUUUAUCAUAAACACAUAAUGGAUUUUAUUAAGUAAUUUUUUUUACAUCUAUUCAGAUGAUCAUAUGCUUUUGUUCUUUAUUCUGUUAACAUGCUAUUUUACAAUAAUUGAUUUUCAGAUAUUAAUCCAACCAUAGAUUAUUUUGAUAAGUCAAACCAGGUCAUGAUGUAUAAUCUGACUUUCUAUUUAUAUUUUUGUCCUUCAUUUGUUUCUCAGACUAAAUAAUCUCCACUGACCUAUCUUCUAGUGCGCUGUGCCUUUCUUUUCGCAGUUCAAGUCUGGUUGUGAUUGCCUCUAGUGAAUUCUCUUUCAUUUCAGUAAUUAUACUUUUCAAUUUCUGAAUUUUAACUAGGUUCUUUUUUAAUAAUUUCUAUCUCAUUGAUGUUUGGUGGCACAUUAUUCUCAUACUUGUGUUUAAUUACAUGUGUUUUUCUUUACUGUUUUCAGGAUAUUUAUUAUGGUUGAUUUAAAGUGUAUUUCAGAUAAGUCUAACAUCUGGAUUUCCUCAGAUACACGAUCUAUUGCUUCUUUUUUGUCUGUGUAUGAGCUAUACUAAUUUCCUAUUUUUUACAUGCGUCAUAAUUUUGUGUUAAAAACUAGACAUUCAAAUAUGGAUAUCUAGUGGCAAAUUCAGAAUAGUUUUCCACCAAACCAAGAUGUGCUGUUUUUAUUUGUUGUUGUUACUGUUGUUGCUGUUUGUUUGUAUAAUGACUUUAUUAAUUUUGUAAAGUAUGUUGUAUUCUUUUUCAUGUGUGAACACUUAUGUCUUUCUUGGCCACUUUAUUCAUCACCAAAUGAUUGGACAAAGAUUUCCUUAAGUGCCUUGAACAAAUAAAUCUCCCAACCUUUGUCAAAGGACCCCUGUUUAUAUUGGGAGAAUCUUUCGACACUCCAGUGGACAGUUUACAUCUCUAGUUUUGCCUUCACUCCCUGGUUACAUCAAGCCUUAUCCUCAGCCAGCUGUGAGAGAUUAGGGCCCUCUUAGGUCUUUCCUAAGUGUAUUCACAACCCUAAUCAUAUGCAUAAUUUUUUUAGGUUUCCAUGAGUGUAUUAGUUUUUAUUUUUAAGGGUAUUUUAUUUUUCUAAAACAGCUUCUUGUUAGUCACAACUGGAAUCUCCACUGAAGGCAGCUGCAAUAUUAAGCAAUUGCCUCUGAUGGGUUGUGCUAGUUGCACAAAGCAAGCUCUGAAUCAGCUCAAAUAAAGACAAAUGUCGACAGUAGAGCUUUUUAUGCGACUUUCAGAUGGGCUAAAUAGUGACAAUUUUCUGGGAAUGGGACUUUCUCCAAACACAUUCUGCCCUUACAGUGACUUCUAGGAUGCUCGUUUUCACAACUCCUGUAUUUGCAAAGUUAUGGUUUUCAAGGCUACGUGGAACUGGAAAGAAGGGAAUAAGAAUGGGACAAAGUAAAACACCACAAAACUCACUGUUCUUACUAAGAUACACACAUUUGUCUUGAAUAAUUAUUCCCCAGAUUGUUUCAACCCUUGGCUUAUUCCUAGAAUUCUUUAUUUUGAAAUUGAAUUCUAAAAAAAAAAUUGAUUUUAACAAUUUUUGCAAGUGCUCUCAUUUUUUUUAUUUUGGAGGAGUAGAUAUUGGAGGUUUUCAUUUUUUUUUAUUUCAGAUGUGCUUUUGUAUUUAGAUUAUUUUUAAUAACAGCCUUAAAUAUUUGUCAAUAUUUUCUUAAUUAAAUCUUGCUUUAAGUUGCUCAACUGCUGCCUAUAGAGUAGAACAAAAUACCUUAGUUAAAUAUUCAAAAUUUUCAAUAUUCUGACUCCAACCAAUCUUAAAAACUUAAUUCUAAAUAUUUCUUUCUUAUAUUAUACCUAACCCUCUCAGUCAGUCUGCUAAAAAUUCACUUAUUUACUUCAAACUUUAAAAAAAAGUUUUCUUUAGAAAAGUAAAGAUAUGUAUAUCUGGGAUGGACUUUGUAUCUGCCAUCUCUGUAUGGCCAAGCAAAGAUGCUAUCUAUUCUAUGAUCAUUUUAUUUAAUAACUCAGAAAGAAAUAUUAUCUUUUUUAAAUUCUUAAAGCAAUUAUUUUUAACAAAUAUAAUAUUUUCAAUUAUAUUCUUUGUCUUUAUAUGAAUUAGUAUUUUGUUAUAUUUCUUCUAUUAUAAGAAAAGCUCUUAGGAAAUAGGAUAAUAAUAAUAUAUGUAGCCUUGGAAAUAUGUCAGGCAUUCAAUAACUACUUCCUGAACGAUUAAACUGAUAAUGAAUGAAUGAAAAAAAUAUAAAUAAAUACUAUUCUCUUAUCACCAUUAAAUAAUUAUUUCUAAUUUUUAUUUUUCACCAGUAUUUCCUAAUGGCAUCUUUUGCAUGUAAUAACAGGAUAUUAAAUUACUAAUCAAAAAAGAAACUAUUUUAUAAUGUAUGAGUUGAAAGUUACAUUUGUUGGUAAUUUCCAAAUCUUUGAAAACAUUUUUAAUGUUUCAAGGGGUGACUGUACAAGGGCACUGACACUGAAAUAAUUUGAACCAAUUUUCUUCUAAUAUCAAAUGCUUAUAUUUGAUAUACAGUAGCUAGCAUAUUAAAAACCUCAGCUUAUAAUUUGUAUACCUAAUUUAUACUGACUAUAUCAGUGUUAUGGAUUCCUAACAAUAAACAUUCAUAAUCUAUAGGCUGAAAUAGAUUAGCUACUUUAUUUGUUGAUUGCAAAUAUGCAUUAAAAAGUCAAAAACAACUAUUUUGACAGAAUUUUUCUGUAUGACGUAGCAGAAAAAGAAUAUGGAUAAUACAAAUGCAUCAUCUAUCAAAUACAUAGCCAGAUAUCACCUAAAAGUACUUGCAUUCUGCUAAAAAUACACUAUUGUCCCUCUACUACGAGAAUGAAAUCCUGCUUUGGAAAAUCCUCUUAUCUUUCUCAAGAACCAUUUAGUAAUUUACUUUUAAGUAAUGGAAAGGAUAUGCUUUAAAGUUUCACUCCUAUUUUUAUUGCAAAAUAUAGAUAAAGAAAUAAUAUCUUGGCUGGAUUAGUAAUAAAAAUUAAUAAAAUUGGCUGAAUUAUUGCUUUGGUGUGACUGAUAUUAACUUGAGAUUUAUUGAGAUACCCUUGUAAUAUAAUUUAAAUUAAAGCAAUAUAGCUUAUUUUGUCAGUUAUACUUUCUUCUUUCCUUGAAUUUUUCCUUUGAGUAAAAAUUUGUUAAGGUUACAGCACAGCUUUUCUAUAUUUUUCCUCAUGAUAGGCAUUUUCUGAAAUGCUUAACAUUUUAUGAAAAGCAGCCUCAUACCAAUAUUUGUUUUCAUAGCCAGUCUCUACAACUGGAUGAAAAUGCAUCAAAUCCUUCUGUUCCCCUCAUUUGAAGAUGUCUGGACAUGAACACAUGCUCCCAAGAGAAUGAACUGAGGAUUUGUCUUUAUAAUCACUGUCUUGAUUCCAUGCUUCCUAUUUCUUCAUAAAAGUAGAGAGAGACAUUUAAGAGAGAGACAUGGAGUUGUAAAUAUUAUUCAAGAAGAAGAACGAAUUCUAAAGUCAUCCAGAAAACAGUGGGAGCUUCCCAGUCAAAAUUGCUUAAAUACUCAAUGCUCUGCAGCAUUUUUACAUUUUUUGCUGAGGUUUCCUCAAAACAUCUGUUCAGCUGAAUUUUGUUUGAAACCUUUUCCAGAAGAACCUAUAUCAACAAUAUUUCCUUAGUCCUCCCUCUCCUCCUCCCUUUGGACUUUAUACCUGAAGUACAUUAAAUAAGUUGAGGAAGAAAGAAGAGCAAUGGAAGUGAGAAUGUGAAUAAGAAUACCUACAAUAAUAAUGUGACAUAAGCUGUAGUUAGAAAAGUAUUAAAUGCUACACUUGAUAAACACCUGAAUUUUGGACAUGAAAUUCAUACGCACUAAAUAUCAUCAUUCUAGACAAUCUUUUAGGAUCCAGGGAUGAAGUAAAACUGUCUAUGUUAAUCUAUUUUAAAUGAUGCUACUCUAUGAGUUGUAAUUACAGGCUGUUUAUUCAUUCAACUAUUUACUCUGCAACAACGUAUGCCAAGCACGGUUCUUUGUGCAAAGAAAAUAGACAACAAUUUUCGUCCAUCUGGAGCUUACGGUUUCGUUAGUUCGAAGUAUUUGUGCUUCAGAAUAUAUCUUAACCUAAUCUUUGGACAUUCUGUUUUUCUGAGUCUGUGAUAGGCACUGAAUUUUAACAAAAUUUGUUUAUAUUUCUGCAACGUCUUUUAGUUAUAGAGAACUACAUAUGUCAUUAUUUGGCUCACUAAGUACUGUGUUUAAAAGAACAAUAAUGUCAAUUGUGUUUAUCAGGAAAUAUAUCAGUCAAUAACUAAAAUAUAGUUUACAAAUAAUGAUUAAGAUUCAUAAGAACCAUAAAUAUUGGAGCUAGCUUACCUGAAUUAGCCAAGAAUUUAAUUAACUCUAAUUCCUUACAGCUCUUAGGUAUUUUAUGUAGUAACAUGUUCUUUUGCCUUCAAAAGGCAAAGGAACAUUGUUUUUAAGUUGAAUUGGAGAUUAAGCAGACUUGUUUUACAUGAAAAUGUUCAAAUUCUAUUUAUAUAUUCUACAACAGCACUUUAUGUACAUCUGUAUCUUAGUUCUUGCUAUAUGCUACUGAAAUUGUCUAUUUCUGAGCCCAAUUCCCCAUCUGGAAUAUAAACUCUUUCAUGGAUACGGAUGUAUUAUCCCUUCAUCUUUAUAUCUACUAUGCUCAUUAAAGGAUCUGGCACAUCAUAA